rnacentral:rRNA from 1 species
AUCCUGCCAGUAGCAUAUGCUUGUCCCAAAGAUUAAGCCAUGCAAGUGAAAGUUCAGCCCAUAAACCGAAACUGCGAAUGGCUCAUUAAAUCAGUUACAAUCGACUUGAGGAGUGAUUCUACAUGGAUAGCCGUGACAAAUUCAGGAUUUUAAUACAUGCAUUAGGCUCUCUUUCGGGAGGGUGUGCUCAAUAGAUCCAAACCUCGUCCUGUUCGCAGGAGCGGUGAAUCAUAUGCAUCAUUCGGACCGCAAAAAUUACUUCGGCGGCACCUCAAUCAAGUAACUGCCCUAUCACGUUGUCGGUAGUGUCUUGGACUACCGAGCGGAUGACGGGUAACGGGGAAUUAGAGUUCGAUUCCGGAGAAAGAGCAUGAGACACGGCUAUUACAUCCAAGGAAGGCAGCAGGCGCGCAAAUUACCCAAUGCGCAUAUGCGUGAGGUAGUGACAGUACGUAGCAAUGGGGCGCACGAGCAAUGUGACCCAAUUGAAAUGAGAAAAAACUAAAGCACUGAAUGAGGAACGAUUGGAGGGCAAGUCUGGUGCCAGCAGCCGCGGUAAUUCCAGCUCCACGAGCGUAUAUUAGAGUUGUUGCAGUUAAAACGUGCGUAGUCGAAGUUGAUGGGUGCCGUAUGCUUAGAACCCGUCGCUUGUCGGCGGGCCUCACUGCGGUGUUCCCAUUAUUCACCCGCCAACGACGGUCCCUUUCGGGGGUACUUUCCCUUUACGGGGUGGACGGUGGGUGAUUUACCUCGAACAAAUGAAAACGCUUGAGGUAGGCCAGAAUGUUGCCUGAAUCAAUUAGCAUGGAAUAGCAGAUGGACAGCGAUGUCUGUUUGUUGGUUUGAGACGUUGCUGUAAUGAUUAAUAGGGGUACUCGGGGCCAACCGUACUCUGGGGAUAGAGGUGAAAUUCUAUGACCCCCAGAAGACGCCCUAAUGCGAAAGCAGUUGGCAAGGGUAUCUUCAUUGAUCAAGCACGAAGGGUGGGGGAGCAAAGCCGAUUAGACACCGUUGUAGUCCCACCAGUAAACGAUGCCGACGCGACCUUGGGUGUCUGAGGACACAGUGUUCAGGGGCGUAUAGAAAUUAGAGUCUUUGGGCUCUGGGGGGAGUAUAGUCGCAAGUCUGAAACUUAAAGGAAUUGACGGAAGGGCACAACCAGGCGUGGAGCCUGCGGCUUAAUUUGACUCAACACGGGGAAGCUCACCAGGUCAGGACAUGAUUAGGAUUGACAGAAUAAUUGAUCUUUCAUGAUCUCAUGGGUGGUGGUGCAUGGCCGUUCUUAGUUCGUGGAUUAAUUUGUCUGGUUGAUUCCGAUAACGAGCGAGACCGA